rnacentral:rRNA from 1 species
AAGGGAGCUUGCUCCCGGAUGUAUGCGGCGGACGGGUGAGUAACACGGGGGUAACCUGCCUGUAAGACUGGGAUAACUCCGGGAAACCGGAGCUAAUACCGGAUAGUUCCUUGAACCGCAUGGUUCAAGGAUGAAAGACGGUUUCGGCUGUCACUUACAGAUGGACCCGCGGCGCAUUAGCUAGUUGGUGGGGUAAUGGCUCACCAAGGCGACGAUGCGUAGCCGACCUGAGAGGGUGAUCGGCCACACUGGGACUGAGACACGGCCCAGACUCCUACGGGAGGCAGCAGUAGGGAAUCUUCCGCAAUGGACGAAAGUCUGACGGAGCAACGCCGCGUGAGUGAUGAAGGUUUUCGGAUCGUAAAGCUCUGUUGUUAGGGAAGAACAAGUGCGAGAGUAACUGCUCGCACCUUGACGGUACCUAACCAGAAAGCCACGGCUAACUACGUGCCAGCAGCCGCGGUAAUACGUAGGUGGCAAGCGUUGUCCGGAAUUAUUGGGCGUAAAGGGCUCGCAGGCGGUUUCUUAAGUCUGAUGUGAAAGCCCCCGGCUCAACCGGGGAGGGUCAUUGGAAACUGGGAAACUUGAGUGCAGAAGAGGAGAGUGGAAUUCCACGUGUAGCGGUGAAAUGCGUAGAGAUGUGGAGGAACACCAGUGGCGAAGGCGACUCUCUGGUCUGUAACUGACGCUGAGGAGCGAAAGCGUGGGGAGCGAACAGGAUUAGAUACCCUGGUAGUCCACGCCGUAAACGAUGAGUGCUAAGUGUUAGGGGGUUUUCCGCCCCUUAGUGCUGCAGCUAACGCAUUAAGCACUCCGCCUGGGGGAGUACGGGUCGCGAGACUGAAACUCAAAGGAAUUAGACGGGGGCCCGCACAAGCUGGUGGCAGCAUGUGGUUUUAUUUCGAAGCAACGCGAAGAACCUUUACAGGGU